rnacentral:rRNA from 1 species
AUUGAACGCUGGCGGAAUGCUUUACACAUGCAAGUCGAACGGUAGAGGGGGCAACCCCUCGAGAGUGGCGAACGGGUGGGUAAUAUAUCGGAACGUGCCCAGUCGUGGGGGAUAACGUAGCGAAAGUUACGCUAAUACCGCAUACGAUCUAAGGAUGAAAGCGGGGGAUCGCAAGACCUCGCGCGAUUGGAGCGGCCGAUAUCAGAUUAGGUAGUUGGUGGGGUAAAGGCUCACCAAGCCAACGAUCUGUAGCUGGUCUGAGAGGACGACCAGCCACACUGGAACUGAGACACGGUCCAGACUCCUACGGGAGGCAGCAGUGGGGAAUUUUGGACUAUGGACGCAAGUCUGAUCCAGCCAUUCCGCGUGCAGGAUGAAGGCCCUCGGGUUGUAAACUGCUUUUGUACGGAACGAAAAGGUCUCUCUUAAUACGGGGGACUCAUGACGGUACCGUAAGAAUAAGCACCGGCUAACUACGUGCCAGCCGCCGCGGUAA